rnacentral:rRNA from 1 species
AUUGAACGCUGGCGGAAUGCUUUACACAUGCAAGUCGAACGGCAGCACGGACUUCGGUCUGGUGGCGAGUGGCGAACGGGUGAGUAAUGUAUCGGAACGUGCCCAGGCGUGGGGGAUAACGUAGUGAAAAUUACGCUAAUACCGCAUACGAUCUAUGGAUGAAAGCGGGGGAUCGAAAGACCUCGCGCGAUUGGAGCGGCCGAUAUCAGAUUAGGGAGUUGGUGGGGGAAAGGCCCACCAAGCCAACGAUCUGUAGCUGGUCUGAGAGGACGACCAGCCACACUGGAACUGAGACACGGUCCAGACUCCUACGGGAGGCAGCAGUGGGGAAUUUUGGACAAUGGGCGAAAGCCUGAUCCAGCCAUUCCGCGUGCAGGAUGAAGGCCCUCGGGUUGUAAACUGCUUUUGUACAGAACGAAAAGGUUUCUACUAAUACUAGGAGCUCAUGACGGUACUGUAAGAAUAAGCACCGGCUAACUACGUGCCAGCAGCCGCCGUAA